rnacentral:rRNA from 1 species
ACUCAAAGGAAUUGACGGGGGCCCGCACAAGCGGUGGAGCAUGUGGUUUAAUUCGACGCAACGCGAAGAACCUUACCCAGGCUUGACAUGUAGAGAAUCCCUACGAAAGUAGGGAGUGCCUUCGGGAGCUCUAACACAGGUGCUGCAUGGCUGUCGUCAGCUCGUGUCGUGAGAUGUUGGGUUAAGUCCCGCAACGAGCGCAACCCUCGUCCUUAGUUACCAUCAUUAAGUUGGGGACUCUAGGGAGACUGCCGGUGUUAAACCGGAGGAAGGUGGGGAUGACGUCAAGUCCUCAUGGCCUUUAUGCCUGGGGCGACACACGUGCUACAAUGGCCGGUACAAAGGGUUGCCAACCCGCGAGGGGGAGCUAAUCCCAAAAAACCGGUCUCAGUACGGAUUGAAGUCUGCAAUUCGACUUCAUGAAGCUGGAAUCGCUAGUAAUCGCGCAUCAGCACGGCGCGGUGAAUACGUUCCCGGGCCUUGUACACACCGCCCGU